rnacentral:miRNA from 13 species
AGAGAGGUUAGCCUUUGUGUGUU